AGUAAAGUGCCUGAAAAAGGAUUAUUAUGAUAUAAUAAAACAUGUAAUAAAAAUUACCUUUACUU
rnacentral:tRNA from 1 species